GACGAACGCUGGCGGCGUGCUUAACACAUGCAAGUCGAACGGGCCUGUCUUCUUUUUUGGGGGGUGGGUUGAGUGGCGAACGGGUGAGUAUCACGUGAGUAACCUGCCCUUCGGUCCUGGAUAACCGCUUGAAAGGGCGGCUAAUACGGGGUGGUCCGGUUGGUCCGCAUGGGCUGGUCGGGAUAGAUUCACUGUUUUUGGUGUUUCGGCGGGGGAUGGGCUCGCGGCCUAUCAGCUUGUUGGUGGGGUGAUGGCCUACCAAGGCGGUGACGGGUAGCCGGCCGGAGAGGGUGGGGGGCCACACUGGGACUGGGAUACGGCCCAGACCCCUGCGGGAGGCAGCAGUGGGGGGUAUUGCACAAUGGGCGGAAGCCUGAUGCAGCGACGUCGCGUGAGGGAUGGAGGCCUUCGGGUUGUGAACCUCUGUUUCCGGUGGUGAAGGCCCUGUCCGUGUGGUGGGGUUGACGGUAGCCGGGGAUGAAGCGCCGGCUAACUACGUG
rnacentral:rRNA from 1 species